rnacentral:rRNA from 1 species
AUUGAACGCUGGCGGCAUGCCUUACACAUGCAAGUCGAACGGUAACAGGUUAAGCUGACGAGUGGCGAACGGGUGAGUAAUGUAUCGGAACGUGCCCAGUCGUGGGGGAUAACUGCUCGAAAGAGCAGCUAAUACCGCAUACGACCUGAGGGUGAAAGCGGGGGAUCGCAAGACCUCGCGCGAUUGGAGCGGCCGAUAUCAGAUUAGGUAGUUGGUGAGGUAAAGGCUCACCAAGCCGACGAUCUGUAGCUGGUCUGAGAGGACGACCAGCCACACUGGGACUGAGACACGGCCCAGACUCCUACGGGAGGCAGCAGUGGGGAAUUUAGGACAAUGGGCGCAAGCCUGAUCCAGCCAUGCCGCGUGCGGGAAGAAGGCCUUCGGGUUGUAAACCGCUUUUGUCAGGGAAGAAAAGGUUCUGGCUAAUACCUGGGACUCAUGACGGUACCUGAAGAAUAAGCACCGGCUAACUACGUG